UACGUAGGGGCCGAGCGUUGUCCGGAGUUAUUGGGCGUAAAGCGCGCGCAGGCGGCCUCGCGCGCCCGACGUGAAAGCCCCCGGCUUAACCGGGGAGGGUCGUUGGGGACGGCGGGGCUUGAGGGCGGGAGAGGGUGGUGGAAUUCCCGGUGUAGUGGUGAAAUGCGCAGAUAUCAGGAGGAACACCGAUGGCGAAGGCAGGUCUCUGGGCAUUAACUGACGCUGAGGAGCGAAAGUGUGGGGAGCGAACAGGA
rnacentral:rRNA from 1 species